UACGAGGGGACUAGCGUUGUUCGGAAUCACUGGGCGUAAAGCGCACGUAGGCGGAUUCGUAAGUUAGGGGUGAAAUCCCGGGGCUCAACCUCGGAACUGCCUUUGAUACUGCGGGUCUCGAGUCCGAUAGAGGUGGGUGGAAUUCCUAGUGUAGAGGUGAAAUUCGUAGAUAUUAGGAAGAACACCGGUGGCGAAGGCGGCCCACUGGAUCGGCACUGACGCUGAGGUGCGAAAGCGUGGGGAGCAAACAGG
rnacentral:rRNA from 1 species